CUCAAAAGGGAAGAGUGGAUCAUAGUGUGGAUCCCCAAUAUCCAUUGGCAGCUGAUCUACUCUCUUGAACCAAGUGAAUGAGUGAUAGCCAACUUUCCUGUUAAUCUAUCGGCGCCAAAUAGAAACAUCAGUCACACCUUGCCCUUCACUUCCAGUAAGCCUAGCUACGGAUUCAAACAAGUGCUUCAGUAUUUUUUUUGUUCCCCAGUUAUUUAGAUGGUACCAAGACUGGAGGUGGAAGAUGCUUCUAAUGAUUCAUAUGACAAAUCCGUUUCCAAGACUGGAGGUCCUAUCUCAACUAAAUAAUAGAACAUGUCUUUUCAUUUGACAUUACUGUUUAUGAUUAGUUUCUGAGAAGGGGGUUUCAUCAGUAAACUUCCAAUUAUAGGAUGUUCAGGGGAUACUGGGAGGUGGUGGACUACCUAUCAUAAUGUGUAUUCUCAUCUUUCGAAGAUGCUCCAUUUCAUUUCAUUUUGUUUUAUGUAUUGUCAUUGGUGCUAUUAUUGAAAAGCUGCAAACAGUUUGGGUCUUCUUUGAGUCGUGAAAGGUUUGCAUAAAGGUUAACAACUUUAUGAGCGUACAUGUAAUAACAGAGAAAUACCAACUUCCUUUCCUCUUCCUCUCUCUCCACAGAGAAAUACCCACCUUUUCAAUCCUCAGUUUCAUACGCAUUUGGGACGUGGGGGAGACGUUGGUUCCCGCCAUAAACCCUUCUUUCUAAGAAAUUCUAGAAAUAAUUGUAAUAAUGUUUCUAUUGGAGUUAUCCAAGGGUAGGGCUCAAGAAUCUUCUUUCAAGAGAGAACCCAUGGUGCCUCCUUACAGUGUCCUCAUCAUGGGUUCAACAAAAGGUGUUUUCUUUCUCUCGGAUUGAUUUUCUGAAGGGUUUGAAAUGGUUUUGGUUCCUUUGUUGAAUUAAAAUUUUCAGUCUUUUUUUCUUCUUUUAUUUAGGGAUCUGGUAUGCAAUGGCUAAAGGAGUUUCUGAAAGCAGGCGACAAUGUCAUAAUCUGCUCAAAAUCUGAACAGGUGUGUCUCGAGCUUUCAGUUGAGUUGCUGAAUAGCUAGCUUUCACUUUUACUUAACUGAGUCUUUGGCUGAUGAACACGCAAAGUCUGCUAUUCAUAGCCUGAGAGGAGAAUUCGGGGAGCAGCGUGUCUUGGUUAGGAGAUGUGUGAUGUCAAGAGAAGCACAGGAUGUUUAAAAUUUGGUGGCUUUUGCAAAACAAAAUCUGAAAUACAUUGAUAUAUGGGUAUCCAUGUCAGAUCUUUUGUCUUCAUGACUUCAUCAUUGUUUCUGUUUGUAGAGUUUACACAAUAAUUCAUUGGUUUUGUUCU